UCAAGUUACGUUCUUUGGGACUUUCGAUUGUAUACGGCGAGUGUUCGAUUAAUUUCAAUUGUUGAUUGUUAUUUUGUUUGAUUUGAUUAUGGAAGUGGAUUAUGCAAUGAUGUAUGAAAUAUAUAUACAAAGAUUCAUGCUUUGAGGCUUGAAAAGAGAUUAUACCUCAAGAAGGAUUGAAUUUGGUGGUGGAGGAGCAAGAAUGAAUUAAUUGUGAGAAGAUGGAAAGUGAAGAGAGUUGGAGGUGAAGAGCCCCCAUGGUGAAAGACCGUAGACUACUUGGAGAAAAAGAAGGAAGGAAGACUUUUUUUUUUCUUUUGGGCUUGCUCUCAUAUCUUUGGAAAUUGUAUUGGGCUCAACAUAUAUCAUUUAAAUUAGUUUGGGUUCAUUUAGUUGAAAGCCCAAGUUGAUAAUUAUUUAA